rnacentral:misc_RNA from 1 species
GGAAGGAUCAUUAACACGUAUCCAACGUUAAACAACCCUGUGAACUUUCAACCCCGCCGGAAUGAGAUUAAUUUCCAACUCCGGCGAAGACAAGUGACCUGGCACCUGACCUCAUCAAAGCUCUGACAGCGUGCCUCUGGAUGCUUAAUGGAAGGGUGACGCAGUAACGAUCGCUGGAGGCCCACACGGCCGGCGACCGGGUCAGCGGCAUUCUUUAAUGCCCCUUAAAACCACUUAACAUGACGACAGUUCCUCUUUAACUUGAGUUGAGCUAUAACAAAAACUAAUACAACUGUUAACAAUGGAUAUCUUGGUUCUCGCAACGAUGAAGAACGCAGCGAAAUGCGAUACGUAAUGCGAAUUGCAGAAUUCAGUGAAUCAUCGAAUCUUUGAACGCAAAUUGCGCUCUCGGGUACCCCCAAGAGCACACCUCUCUGAGUGUCGGUUUAACCUCAUGUCACCAUUUUAUGGUUACGAUUGUCUGAGGGUAAGGGGUCUCGGCCUUUUUCCCUUUAAAUUUCAGCCGCACGACUGUGUGUGUUCGUGGCAAGUUGCUUUCAGUUAAUUCUGAAUUCAAUCCACUGACCCUAUGUCGAGUAGCCAAAAGAAACACAUGAAGCAAGGAAGUGAGCUUAUUUAUAAGCAAACGACUGCGCAUCAUCUAUGAAUUAGACCUCAGAUGAAGUGGGAAGACCCCCUGAAUUUAAGCAUAUUAUUAAGGGGAGGAAAAGAAACUAACAAGGAUUCCCCUAGUAACGGCGAGUGAAGCGGGAAAAGCUCAAAUUUAAAAUCCGCUGGUCUAACAGCCAAUGGAGUUGUAAUCUAGAGAGGCUCUCUCAGUGCCAGCCUGGUUAUAAGUCCCUUGAAACGGGGCAUCAAAGAGGGUGAGAAUCCCGUAUUUGAGCCGGAGCUAAGUACGUACGAGGAGUUUUCUAAGAGUCGCGUUGCUUGGGAGUGCAGCGCUAAAUGGGUGGUAAAGUUCAUCUAAAGCUAAAUACUGGCGAGAGACCGAUAGCGAACAAGUACCGUGAGGGAAAGAUGAAAAGAACUUUGAAAAGAGAGUUAAAAAGUACUUGAAAUUGUUAACAGGGAAGGGGAGUCAACCAGUCAUUUCUUGGCUUCAUUCGCCUUUUCUUCGGAAUGGGUUACUUGAGGCUGAGAAGAGUCAGCGACACCUAGACUGUCUUUGCAGAAACCAUGUAAGUUGGUGCGUUUCUUCGGAUUCGUUUAGCCUAUGUGGUCUACAUUGAUGCUGGGUGAGGAGUGAUAACCCCCCGCUUUCGGGCGUCGGUACCCUGGUGUCUGUUUGCCCUAGCGCGUGAGAGAACAAAGUUCUGUCUGUGCGAAAGGUGAAUACUACGCUGGGUGUGCCAGAUGGUGGGUUCGCGUUGCAGACGAAAUGGUUGUCUUCCACCCGUCUUGAAACACGGACCAAGGAGUCUAACAUAUAUGCGAGUAUUUGGGUGACAAACCCUGAUGCGUAAUGAAAGUAAAGAGCCGCAAGGCUUGAGGUAGGAAUCUUGCUCUAGGGUGAGAGGCACUAUCGACCGAUCGUUCGCUUGCGGAAGAUUUGAGUAAUAGCAUAUCUGUUGGGACCCGAAAGAUGGUGAUCUAUGCCUGAACAGGGUGAAGCCAGGGGAAACUCUGGUGGAAGCUCGUAGCGAUACUGACGUGCAAAUCGUUCGUCUGAUUUGGGUAUAGGGGCGAAAGACUAAUCGAACCAUCUAGUAGCUGGUUCCCUC